rnacentral:rRNA from 1 species
CAGCAGCCGCGGGAAAACAGAGGGUGCGAGCGUUAAUCGGAUUUACUGGGCGUAAAGCGUGCGUAGGCGGCUUUUUAAGUCGGAUGUGAAAUCCCUGAGCUUAACUUAGGAAUUGCAUUCGAUACUGGGAAGCUAGAGUAUGGGAGAGGAUGGUAGAAUUCCAGGUGUAGCGGUGAAAUGCGUAGAGAUCUGGAGGAAUACCGAUGGCGAAGGCAGCCAUCUGGCCUAAUACUGACGCUGAGGUGCGAAAGCGUGGGGAGCAAACAGGAUUAGAUACCCGUGUAGUCCCUGUCUCUUAUAC